AAUGAACGCUGGCGGCGUGCCUAACACAUGCAAGUCGUACGAGAAUACCCGAGCUUGCUUGGGAGGAGUAAAGUGGCGCACGGGUGAGUAACGCGUGGGUAACCCACCUUCGAAUCUGGGAUAACUCCGCGAAAGCGGUGCUAAUACCGGAUAAGACCACAGCCGCUUCGGCGGUAGAGGUAAAAGCUGACCUCUCCAUGGAAGUUAGCGUUCGAGGACGGGCCCGCGUCCUAUCAGCUUGUUGGUGGGGUAAAGGCCUACCAAGGCAGCGACGGGUAGCUGGUCUGAGAGGAUGAUCAGCCACACUGGAACUGGAACACGGUCCAGACUCCUACGGGAGGCAGCAGUGAGGAAUUUUGCGCAAUGGGGGAAACCCUGACGCAGCAACGCCGCGUGGGUGAAGAAGGCUUUCGGGUCGUAAAGCCCUGUCAGGUGGGAAGAAACUCUUCAGUACUAAUAAUGCUGAAGCCUGACGGUACCACCAGAGGAAGCACCGGCCAACUCCGUG
rnacentral:rRNA from 1 species